UUCUGUAAGCCUGUGAAGGUGUGUCGUGAGGCAUGCUGGAGGUAUCAGAAGUGCGAAUGCUGACAUAAGUAACGAUAAAGCGGGUGAAAAGCCCGCUCGCCGGAAGACCAAGGGUUCCUGUCCAACGUUAAUCGGGGCAGGGUGAGUCGACCCCUAAGGCGAGGCCGAAAGGCGUAGUCGAUGGGAAACGGGUUAAUAUUCCCGUACUUGGUGUUACUGCGAAGGGGGGACGGAGAAGGCUAUGUUGGCCGGGCGACGGUUGUCCCGGUUUAAGCGUGUAGGUGUGUGUUCCAGGUAAAUCCGGUUCACUUUAACACUGAGGCGUGACGACGAGGCACUACGGUGCUGAAGCAACAAAUGCCCUGCUUCCAGGAAAAGCCUCUAAGCAUCAGGUAACAUCAAAUCGUACCCCAAACCGACACAGGUGGUCAGGUAGAGAAUACCAAGGCGCUUGAGAGAACUCGGGUGAAGGAACUAGGCAAAAUGGUGCCGUAACUUCGGGAGAAGGCACGCUGACACGUAGGUGAAGUGAUUUACUCAUGGAGCUGAAGUCAGUCGAAGAUACCAGCUGGCUGCAACUGUUUAUUAAAAACACAGCACUGUGCAAACACGAAAGUGGACGUAUACGGUGUGACGCCUGCCCGGUGCCGGAAGGUUAAUUGAUGGGGUCAGCGCAAGCGAAGCUCCUGAUCGAAGCCCCGGUAAACGGCGGCCGUAACUAUAACGGUCCUAAGGUAGCGAAAUUCCUUGUCGGGUAAGUUCCGACCUGCACGAAUGGCGUAAUGAUGGCCAGGCUGUCUCCACCCGAGACUCAGUGAAAUUGAACUCGCUGUGAAGAUGCAGUGUACCCGCGGCAAGACGGAAAGACCCCGUGAACCUUUACUAUAGCUUGACACUGAACAUUGAGCCUUGAUGUGUAGGAUAGGUGGGAGGCUUUGAAGUGUGGACGCCAGUCUGCAUGGAGCCGACCUUGAAAUACCACCCUUUAAUGUUUGAUGUUCUAACGUGGACCCGUUACCCGGGUUGCGGACAGUGUCUGGUGGGUAGUUUGACUGGGGCGGUCUCCUCC
rnacentral:rRNA from 1 species